AUCUACAGCCAUGCCACCCUUAACAAGCCUGAUCCCGUCUGAUCUUGGAAGCUAAGCAGGAUCAGGCCUGGUUAGUACUUGGAUGAGAGAUCACUUAGGAAGAUGAGGUGCUAUAGGCA
rnacentral:rRNA from 1 species